rnacentral:rRNA from 1 species
GGGAAAGGGAUUGGAGAUUUUAGAGUUUGGAUCAUGGCUCAGAUUGAACGCUGGCGGCAGGCUUAACACAUGCAAGUCGAGCGGAUGAAGGUAGCUUGCUACUGGAUUCAGCGGCGGACGGGUGAGUAAUGCUUAGGAAUCUGCCUAUUAGUGGGGGACAACGUUCCGAAAGGAGCGCUAAUACCGCAUACGUCCUACGGGAGAAAGCAGGGGACCUUCGGGCCUUGCGCUAAUAGAUGAGCCUAAGUCGGAUUAGCUAGUUGGUAGGGUAAAGGCCUACCAAGGCGACGAUCUGUAGCGGGUCUGAGAGGAUGAUCCGCCACACUGGGACUGAGACACGGCCCAGACUCCUACGGGAGGCAGCAGUGGGGAAUAUUGGACAAUGGGGGGAACCCUGAUCCAGCCAUGCCGCGUGUGUGAAGAAGGCCUUUUGGUUGUAAAGCACUUUAAGCGAGGAGGAGGCUACCUAGAUUAAUACUUUAGGAUAGUGGACGUUACUCGCAGAAUAAGCACCGGCUAACUCUGUGCCAGCAGCCGCGGUAAUACAGAGGGUGCGAGCGUUAAUCGGAUUUACUGGGCGUAAAGCGUGCGUAGGCGGCCAAUUAAGUCAAAUGUGAAAUCCCCGAGCUUAACUUGGGAAUUGCAUUCGAUACUGGUUGGCUAGAGUAUGGGAGAGGAUGGUAGAAUUCCUAGGUGUAGCGGUGAAAUGCGUAGAGAUCUGGAGGAAUACCGAUGGCGAAGGCAGCCAUCUGGCCUAAUACUGACGCUGAGUACGAAAGAAGCAAGGGUUU